rnacentral:rRNA from 1 species
AACGAACGCUGGCGGCAUGCCUGACACAUGCAAGUCGAACGAGAUCUUCGGAUCUAGCGGCGCACGGGUGCGUAACGCGUGGGAAUCUGCCCUUGGGUUCGGAAUAACAGUGAGAAAUUACUGCUAAUACCGGAUGAUGUCUUCGGACCAAAGAUUUAUUGCCCAGGGAUGAGCCCGCGUAGGAUUAGCUAGUUGGUGGGGUAAUGGCCUACCAAGGCGACGAUCCUUAGCUGGUCUGAGAGGAUGAUCAGCCACACUGGGACUGAGACACGGCCCAGACUCCUACGGGAGGCAGCAGUGGGGAAUAUUGGACAAUGGGCGAAAGCCUGAUCCAGCAAUGCCGCGUGAGUGAUGAAGGCCUUAGGGUUGUAAAGCUCUUUUACCAGGGAUGAUAAUGACAGUACCUGGAGAAUAAGCUCCGGCUAACUCCGUGCCAGCCGCCGCAGUAA